rnacentral:rRNA from 1 species
UACAGAGGGUGCAAGCGUUAAUCGGAAUUACUGGGCGUAAAGCGUGCGUAGACGGUUGCGUAAGUCAGAUGUGAAAGCCCCGGGCUCAACCUGGGAAUUGCAUUUGAGACUGCGUAGCUAGGGUGCGGAAGAGGGAAGCGGAAUUUCCGGUGUAGCGGUGAAAUGCGUAGAUAUCGGAAGGAACACCAGUGGCGAAAGCGGCUUCCUGGACCGACACUGACGCUGAGGCGCGAAAGCUAGGGGAGCAAACGGG